rnacentral:rRNA from 1 species
CCUGACGAAGCAACGCCGCGUGGGGGAUGAAGGUCCUCGGAUCGUAAACCCCUGUCGACCGGGACGAAGGUAUCCGACCUAACACGUCGGCGUAUUGACUGUACCGGUGGAGGAAGCCACGGCUAACUCUGUGCCAGCAGCCGCGGUAAUACAGAGGGGGCGAGCGUUGUUCGGAAUUACUGGGCGUAAAGGGCGCGUAGGUGGCCUGUUAAGUCGAACGUGAAAUCCCCGGGCUCAACCCGGGGACUGCGUCCGAGACUGGCAGGCUCGAAUCCGGGAGAGGGAUGUGGAAUUCCAGGUGUAGCGGUGAAAGUGCGUAGAUAUCUGGAGGAACACCGGUGGCGAAGGCGGCAUCCUGGACCGGUAUUGACGCUGAGGCGCGAAAGCCAGGGGAGCAAACGGGAUUAGAUACCCCGGUAGUCCUGGCCCUAAACGAUGAAUGCUUGGUGUGGCGGGUAUCGAUCCCUGCCGUGCCGAAGCUAACGCAUUAAGCAUUCCGCCUGGGGAGUACGGUCGCAAGGCUG